AUUGAACGCUGGCGGAAUGCUUUACACAUGCAAGUCGAACGGCAGCACGGGGCAACCUGGUGGCGAGUGGCGAACGGGUGAGUAAUACAUCGGAACGUGCCCAAUCGUGGGGGAUAACGUAGCGAAAGUUACGCUAAUACCGCAUACGAUCUACGGAUGAAAGCGGGGGAUCGCAAGACCUCGCGCGAAUGGAGCGGCCGAUGUCAGAUUAGGUAGUUGGUGGGGUAAAGGCUCACCAAGCCAACGAUCUGUAGCUGGUCUGAGAGGACGACCAGCCACACUGGAACUGAGACACGGUCCAGACUCCUACGGGAGGCAGCAGUGGGGAAUUUUGGACAAUGGGCGCAAGCCUGAUCCAGCCAUGCCGCGUGA
rnacentral:rRNA from 1 species